rnacentral:rRNA from 1 species
GUCUAUGGCCAUACCACCCUGAACACGCCUGAUCUCGUCUGAUCUCGGAAGCUAAGCAGGGUCGGGCCUGGUUAGUACUUGGAUGGGAGACCUCGUGGGAAUACUGGGUGCUGUAGGCU